UUAAUUAAUUAAAAUUAAAUUAUGUGGCUGGGAGAGAUUUCUUCAAAGGAAGGAAUUAUUGAGCUGCUUAGUUGAUGAUUGUGAAUCAAGUUGCCAGCUGUUAUAUGAUCACCAAGUCUGGAGUAACUCAAGACACUUACCUUGACAUCACAUAAUUACUCUUCCUUUCCCAUCUCUCCUUGUCGUGAAGGAACAAACUGAUCAGAGAAAGAAAAAAAAAAUUGCAGAGAGAAAAUAGUGAGAAAGAAAAGAAAAAGUGAAGAAAAAAAAAUCAGAGGAAAAAUCAGGGAAAAGAUAGACAAGACCUUGGAAGACUUUCUUUCAUCCUCUAUCUCAGUUCCUUGCUGUAUAGAAUAUCAGAAGUUCAGUAGCAGGUUCAGUGUAAGGGGGAGGAUCAAGUGAGUUCUUCUGUCCAUCAGUUGUUGUGCUGCUUGCUAGUCUUGCUGUCUCACUCCAGUUCGUCCUUGUACCUGUGUACUCCUUUGGUUCCUUUCAGCUUGUUCGAGAUCAGUUCCAAGCUUUCUUAAAAUUUCGGUUUCAAGACUUAUUUUAAGGUAACCAUUAGGCGGGAGACACUUUUCUCUUUUGGACUAGAAGAAACAGCGUAAUCAGCGGUAGUUUUUGUUGUCCUUGCAACGAACCUUUUGAUGUAUAUUUACUGUAAAACGUUGUUGGGCGAUAGGCCGCAGGAUAAAACUAUAACGGUUUGUAAAAUGUUUAAAGUAAAUAAAUAAGGUAUAAAGGAUGUUUUAUAAA